rnacentral:sRNA from 1 species
UUGCUGCUGCUGCUGCUGCUGCUGCUGCUGCUGCUGUUGCUGCUGCUGCUACUGCUGCUGCUGCUACUGCUGCUGCUUGGCCCUGGCUGGAGACAUCUCACUACACCCAGGAGCAGCCACUUCCCCAGCUCUCCUCCUCCUCCUUCGCCUCCUCCUCCUCCACUCCCCCCCUUUAUUACCCUUUGUGUCAUCCUCCACAGCUCCAGGGAAGGCACUCAAAAGUGGGGGGCAGGAAAGGGUUUUGCUUUGUCAUCCUGGCCAGAGUGCAGUGGCACAAUCACAGCUCACUGCAACCUCGACCUCCUGGGCUCAAGUGAUUCUCCCACCUCAGCCUGCUGAGUAGCUGGGACUACAGCCCACAUAUGACAGUGGACAUAGAGGACAACGCAGAUAUAGAACAUUUCUUUUAUCACAAUGGAGUCUCGCUCUUGUCAUCUAGGCUAGAGUGCAGUGUCACAAUCUCAGCUCACUGCAGCCUCUGCCUCCUGGGUUCAAGCAAUCCUCCUGCCUCAGCCUCCCGAGUAGCUGGGAUUACAGGCGCCCACCACCAUGCCCAGCUAAUUUUUGUAUUUUUAGUAGAGACAGAGUUUCACCAUGUUGGCCAGGCUGGUUUCGAACUCCUGGCCUCAGGACCCACCUGCCUUGGCCUCCGAAAGUGCUGGGAUUACAGGUGUGAGCCACCACACCCAGCCAAAUUAUACCAAGAUUUAACAAAAUAACAGACAUAUAUUAAAAUAUUGAGAAUCAUUUUCUUCAAAGUCAAAAAUCACUAAUACGGGCCUUUUUCUUUCUCUCUCUCUGUGUUUAGAUAUAUCUGUAUAUAUGUGUGUGUGUGUGUGUAUGUGUGUGUGUAGAUAUGGGUUUAUGUAUAUGUAAAUGCGUGAAUAUUUAGCAGGAAGCCACGAUUAUUGAGGCAGGUAUUGUGGUAAGUCACUUUAUAUUCUCAUUUAAUCCUUCUAAUAAUCUAGUGAAAUAAUUACUAUUUUUAUCCCCAUUUUUGAGAUGAGAAAAGUGACUUCUAGAUACAGGAAGCAACUUGUGCAGGAUUACACAGUCAUUAAAUUAUAGACUUUGGAACUUAGAUAAGAUCUCUCAGUGCUUUAUGAUAUUGUAGCUAAUAGAUAUGCUCAAUAUGUUUUUACCUGUCGUAGAAUCCAGAUCAUUAAAAGAAGAGAUAUUUGCUCUCUGAUAAUUCAGCAUUACAUUUAUCUUCUUAAGUUUUCUCUGGCUUUCCUCUGUCUUUAGAAUGCAUUCUAUGUCUAAACUUUUGAAAAACAAAGCCCAUUGCUUUUGUCCUACAAAUAUUUCAUAGAGGAUGCUACGUUGGCUGUCCCUCUUUUUAAGUUGAAAAUAGAAUAAGAAUUUAACUUCACAUAAGAACAUAAGAAUAAGAAUGCUCUAGGUUUUGUAAUUGUUAAGUUUAGUUUUUAAAAAAUGUUCAUUGUGAAUCAUAAUUCUAAAUUUGAAAGAUCAUGUGAAGAAAAUGUUAAAAGCUUAUUGGACAGUACAUUUAAAAAGGUCUUGCAUGAUCAGACAUUUUCAUCCUCUAGAGGAAAUCAUAGCUCAAUAUACAUAUCUGUACUUCU